UACAGAGGUCUCAAGCGUUAAUCGGAAUUACUGGGCUUAAAGGGUCCGCAGGCGGACCAGCAAGUACCUUGUGAAAUCUCAGGUCUCAACCCUGAGUCUGCUGGGUAGACUGCUGGUCUUGAGUGCAAAAGGGGUCGCUGGAACUCUAGGUGGAGCGGUGAAAUGCGUAGAUAUCGUAAGGAAGACCAGUGGCGAAGGCGGAUCUCUGGACAGUUACUGACACUGAGGCACGAAGGCCAGGGGAGCAAACGGG
rnacentral:rRNA from 1 species